AGUAAAUUGGUUAAGUUAGAAAGGGCGCACGGUGGAUGCCUUGGCACUAGGAGCCGAAGAAGGACGGGACUAACACCGAUAUGCUUUGGGGAGCUGUACGUAAGCGUUGAUCCAGAGAUUUCCGAAUGGGGGAACCCACUAUC
rnacentral:rRNA from 1 species